rnacentral:rRNA from 1 species
GACGAACGCUGGCGGCGUGCCUAAUACAUGCAAGUAGAACGCUGAAGAGAGGAGCUUGCUCUUCUUGGAUGAGUUGCGAACGGGUGAGUAACGCGUAGGUAACCUGCCUGGUAGCGGGGGAUAACUAUUGGAAACGAUAGCUAAUACCGCAUAAUAUUAAUUAUUGCAUGAUAAUUAAUUGAAAGGUGCAAUUGCACCACUACCAGAUGGACCUGCGUUGUAUUAGCUAGUAGGUGAGGUAACGGCUCACCUAGGCGACGAUACAUAGCCGACCUGAGAGGGUGAUCGGCCACACUGGGACUGAGACACGGCCCAGACUCCUACGGGAGGCAGCAGUAGGGAAUCUUCGGCAAUGGACGAAAGUCUGACCGAGCAACGCCGCGUGAGUGAAGAAGGUUUUCGGAUCGUAAAGCUCUGUUGUAAGAGAAGAACGGGUGUGAGAGUGG